rnacentral:rRNA from 1 species
AAAUUGAAGAGUUUGAUCAUGGCUCAGAUUGAACGCUGGCGGCAGGCCUAACACAUGCAAGUCGAGCGGAAACGAGUUAUCUGAACCUUCGGGGAACGAUAACGGCGUCGAGCGGCGGACGGGUGAGUAAUGCCUAGGAAAUUGCCCUGAUGUGGGGGAUAACCAUUGGAAACGAUGGCUAAUACCGCAUGAUGCCUACGGGCCAAAGAGGGG